rnacentral:rRNA from 1 species
AGAGUUUGAUUCUGGCUCAGGAUGAACGCUAGCUACAGGCUUAACACAUGCAAGUCGAGGGGCAGCGGGAUUGAAGCUUGCUUCAAUUGCCGGCGACCGGCGCACGGGUGAGUAACGCGUAUCCAACCUUCCGUACACUCAGGGAUAGCCUUUCGAAAGAAAGAUUAAUACCUGAUGGUAUGAUGAGAUUGCAUGAUAGCAUCAUUAAAGAUUUAUCGGUGUACGAUGGGGAUGCGUUCCAUUAGGUAGUAGGCGGGGUAACGGCCCACCUAGCCAACGAUGGAUAGGGGUUCUGAGAGGAAGGUCCCCCACAUUGGAACUGAGACACGGUCCAAACUCCUACGGGAGGCAGCAGUGAGGAAUAUUGGUCAAUGGACGAGAGUCUGAACCAGCCAAGUAGCGUGAAGGAUGAAGGUCCUACGGAUUGUAAACUUCUUUUAUAAGGGAAUAAAACCUCCCACGUGUGGGAGCUUGUAUGUACCUUAUGAAUAAGCAUCGGCUAACUCCGUGCCAGCAGCCGCGGUAAUACGGAGGAUGCGAGCGUUAUCCGGAUUUAUUGGGUUUAAAGGGAGCGCAGACGGGUCGUUAAGUCAGCUGUGAAAGUUUGGGGCUCAACCUUAAAAUUGCAGUUGAUACUGGCGUCCUUGAGUGCGGUUGAGGUGUGCGGAAUUCGUGGUGUAGCGGUGAAAUGCUUAGAUAUCACGAAGAACUCCGAUUGCGAAGGCAGCACACUAAUCCGUAACUGACGUUCAUGCUCGAAAGUGUGGGUAUCAAACAGGAUUAGAUACCCUGGUAGUCCACACGGUAAA